rnacentral:rRNA from 1 species
CUACGGGGGGCUGCAGUGAGGAAUAUUGCGCAAUGGGGGAAACCCUGACGCAGCGACGCCGCGUGGAUGAUGAAGGCCUUCGGGUCGUAAAAUCCUGUCAGAAGGAAAGAAGUGUAUGGUAGCUAAUAUCUGCCAUACUUGACGGUACCUUCAAAGGAAGCACCGGCUAACUCCGUGCCAGCAGCCGCGGUAGGAUACGGAGGGUGCAAGCGUUGUUCGGAAUUACUGGGCGUAAAGCGCGCGUAGGCGGUUUUAUAAGUCAGAUGUGAAAGUCCACGGCUCAACCAUGGAAGUGCAUUUGAAACUGUAAGACUUGAGUAUUGGAGGGGGUAGUGGAAUUCCCGGUGUAGAGGUGAAAUUCGUAGAUAUCGGGAGGAAUACCGGUGGCGAAGGCGACUAUCUGGCCAAAUACUGACGCUGAGGUGCGAAAGCGUGGGGAGCAAACAGGAUUAGAUACCCCCGUAGUC